AGACCCUGGCAUACGAGGCCUAGAAUCUAGAACCUGGAAUGCGGAACUCCCACAUCCAAGACCUAGAGCUUUUCAGAGGACCCGGAGGCCAGGAUCCAAGCCCAGAAUGCAGAAUGAGGUCUCAUGUGGCCCAGGAUGGCCUUGGAAUUCCUGCUCCUCCUAUCUCUACUUUCUGAAUCCUGGGUGUGCACACCACACCUGUCUGAGAAGUUCUGGACCUGGUUGGUAUGGACAGCUUUGAGGCACUGUAAAAGAGCUUCCUGAACACCGAGCUGCAGUCACCAUGACACCCACUUCCCUGCAUGUUAACAAAAGUUUGCUUCAAGAUAGAAAUACUCCAUUCCACAGGGAAGCAGGAAGGUAAACGACUCAAAAAUAUAUUCAGGAAGUACCUGAAACUGACCAGAUUCACUAGUCCCCUCCCUGCCAGACUAAGCAAUAAAAGCUGAGAGUAUCUCUCAGGGAAGCAAAGCCAAACUUCAAGGAAGACUCUGACAUCAGACCAGCUGCCUAGAAGAAACAGAAACCAGCCAAGCUGCCUGAAAGAGAUUUAGACCAACUGAGGCAC